rnacentral:rRNA from 1 species
AUUGAACGCUGGCGGCAGGCCUAACACAUGCAAGUCGAGCGGAUGAAGGGAGCUUGCUCCUGGAUUCAGCGGCGGACGGGUGAGUAAUGCCUAGGAAUCUGCCUGGUAGUGGGGGAUAACGUCCGGAAACGGGCGCUAAUACCGCAUACGUCCUGAGGGAGAAAGUGGGGGAUCUUCGGACCUCACGCUAUCGGAUGAGCCUAGGUCGGAUUAGCUAGUUGGUGGGGUAAAGGCCUACCAAGGCGACGAUCCGUAACUGGUCUGAGAGGAUGAUCAGUCACCCUGGAACUGAGACACGGUCCAGACUCCUACGGGAGGCAGCAGUGGGGAAUAUUGGACAAUGGGCGAAAGCCUGAUCCAGCCAUGCCGCGUGUGUGAAGAAGGUCUUCGGAUUGUAAAGCACUUUAAGUUGGGAGGAAGGGCAGUAAGUUAAUACCUUGCUGUUUUGACGUUACCAACAGAAUAAGCACCGGCUAACUUCGUG